GGUUGUCGUCAGCUCGUGUCGUGAGAUGUUGGGUUAAGUCCCGCAACGAGCGCAACCCUUAAGCUUAGUUGCCAUCAUUAAGUUGGGCACUCUAAGUUGACUGCCGGUGACAAACCGGAGGAAGGUGGGGAUGACGUCAAAUCAUCAUGCCCCUUAUGAUUUGGGCUACACACGUGCUACAAUGGACAAUACAAAGGGCAGCGAAACCGCGAGGUCAAGCAAAUCCCAUAAAGUUGUUCUCAGUUCGGAUUGUAGUCUGCAACUCGACUACAUGAAGCUGGAAUCGCUAGUAAUCGUAGAUCAGCAUGCUACGGUGAAUACGUUCCCGGGUCUUGUACACACCGCCCGUCACACCACGAGAGUUUGUAACACCCGAAGCCGGUGGAGUAACCUUUUAGGAGCUAGCCGUCGAAGGUGGGACAAAUGAUUGGGGUGAAGUCGUAACAAGGUAGCC
rnacentral:rRNA from 1 species